AGUUUGGUCUCUAUCACUCCAUCUCCUUAUUCACCAUUUCUUGUGUCAGGUCCGACGGUGCCCCGACCGGCGACCUGUGUGUAUGUGUGUUUGUUCUCUCUCUCUCGCUCUGUUUCUCUCUCCGGCUCCGCUGCGAUUGUUACGCGGUUGCGUAGCAACGGGAGAUCUCCGACCCGGAAGUGCUGCCACUCUGAGCGGUCCCACCUGCGACUGAUUCCUCGCCAGCUGCUGCCAAUCACACACCAUCGUUGGCUGAGUUAUUUAUUGGUGUGGCUGAGUGACAGACACCGCUGGAGUAUUUCACCAAGCCUGGAAACGAACGAGACAGAGAGACGGGAGGAGAGACGGGAGGAGAGACGUCACGAAUUCACGGGAGUUGUGCGGACACACGAGGGGAGCACUGAAGGGACUUUGCACUGUGGAUAACUGUGGAUUGGCUUCACUGUAAAUAAAGACACUGUUCAACUUUAACGAGAGGGCCGCGUCUGGGUUCCCUAACUCUAACAAUGUAGCUUGCCAUCACCAGUGUGUGAAUGUGUGUGUGAAUGGAUGACUGGAUAUGUAAAGCGCUUUGGGGUCCUUAGGGACUAUUAAAGGCGCUAUAUAAAUACAGGCCAUUUACCUAACUCACCACCCUUAACAUCUUGAGAUAAACGGCGUCUUAAAGUCUGAAACAGCCAACAGUGCUCAGUUGUUAGAAACAAUGUAACAAUUCAACACACACACACACACAAUUUGCCGUUUCAGCUCGAUUGAAAACACAAAGUAAUUCCUGUUUGUAUAAAUUUACCAUGAAAAGCCAAAAUGCCUACAGCGGCUGAUGAACCUAAUUAACCCCCCCCCCCCCGCUAUAGUGCACAGUGGACCGCAUGGCCACAGGAAGUGCCCCUUUUCGGAUAAGUGAAAGCGCGUGCAUGAGAGUGCAUGUGUGCGUGCGUGCAAAAGGUGCCAGUUUUUAAGCUCGGCAAAGGGGGUGUGGGGGGCCCUUAAAGCUGAUAUUUAGAAGUACAGAGUAACUGUGAAGCCCCACACUUACUUCAGUGUGCAUACAGAUGCGCUGCGCUAACAUCUAUUUUUUCCACAGCAAAGGGUUAAUCGUGGGAUCUAAUCACAUGAUUUACAGCAGGACAUACCACUGGCUAAUGUUUUUUUCUUAUGACAGGGCCUGGAGUGAAACUACUCCAAGGGAGAGAUCCUGGAAUUUUUAAGUGACAAUCCACAACUUUAUUGUGCAUGUCUAAUUGUGUUAAACUAACAUUUGGCAAAAGAGGGUUUUCCGUGGAAGUUUUCAUUUUUAAAUUGCAUAGACCGUGACAUGAGGGAUAUGGAAGGAUUGACUGAGGUACAGAUGCAGACCAUGACUGGGAGAGAAGGCUUCAAGAGGACCAGUGAGAAGCAGGGACCAUCUGCAGGACAGCUGACAAACGACAGUGGGCUGCACCACUGGGCUUCCAAAGGAUUGUCACGAGGAGAUUUUGAACAGCAAAAUCUUAAAUAAAAUGAAAGAGAUUUCUACGUUGACGUUGAGGAAGACUACAGGAGUGUACGACUUGCUCUGCUCCUAAUCUACAGCCGCGUUGGAACAGAAAUGGAGGGAUGAAGAGAGCGUGCCAAGCUCCAAAAGUGACAGCGCAAAGGGAGACCAGCGUUGGAAUAAUGACUCUGUAAAUGGCACAGACACCAGGAGCCAUGACUGUGACUGGGAAUGACCACCUAAUGCUGUUUCACUUUGCCAUGCAAAGUACUCUGGAGAAGACCUUUCCUCUGUAUCAUUGUUGUUGCCAUUUGCAUGUGAGAGCUUAGAUUGUGGGGAGAAUUAAAGAUGAACAAAGGGUGGUGGGAGAACAGUGAAGUGAGGAUACACAGUGUGAAACUCCUUUAAGUGUACAAUAAUGUUGAUGUGAUAUACAGAAUGUCAGGAAAGAAAUUCUGGUAUUAAUGUGAUUCUUGAUUUAAGAAUCAAAGGGUGGGAUUGUAUAGGAAUUUCUUUUACUUAUGUAUUAAUCGCAUUAUUUUAUUGUAUAAUGCCUUGCAGGCUACAUAAACCAUAUUUACUCUCGCCUAACACUCAAAGCACUUUGCACUCCAAGCUGUAACAGCAGACACAUUUUAACCUUCACAUGAAUGCAUACCUGAUUGUUAUUUGAGAUACAUAUGAUAAGAUACUGGGAUUGAACCUCUGUCAAUCUGAUGAAAAUCUGAUCCAUCAUAAAAAACAUGAAUAAGAUAUUGGAAAACAAAGGCCUCCAAAAAGCACUUAAUCCAAAAACAGAGACAUUUUCUUGCCCUUGUUUAUAACCAUUUUACAUAUGUUUUCCAUCUUAGUAUUCAAAUGGUUAUUUGAAUAGUUUAGUUAUGUACUAAACUAAAACACGUACUUUUUACUUUGAUUUAACAGCACGAAUGACUGUUUGCCUCUCUGUAGUGAGCCUGUGAUAGACUGAUGAAACACAGCUUAAAUACAUUGGAGAGAAAUGAUUGUGAAAUUUUCCAUCCUGGCCUCUUGUGUAUUGCGUCACACACUAUAAUCAAAUAACAAUAUCAGUUCCCUCUCUGUCUGUCCUCUCAGCAGAGAAACAUUAUUCUCUUACAGUGUUUUCCCUCCUGUAACUAAAGGUCAAAGGUCAAGUGAAGGCCUGCAUGUGCUGUGCAAAUAGAAGCUCCUCUGCUUCCACCUCCUGGCUGUUAUUAAGCAGUGAACGAUGUCUGUUCAUAGUGCUUACACUCACCGGCCACUUUAUUAUGUACAUUUGAUACUACUAAGCUGGAUCCCUUUUACUUUAGGAGCUGCCUUUUUUCUUUGUAGUAUACAGACAACAAGCUGGUGGAAAUAAUACAAAAGCAUCACACAGAAGAUUUAUUGGCUGCACAUCUGUGAUGUAAAUCUCGUUCCACGACGAUCCCAAAGGUGCUCUGCUGGAUUGAGGAAACCAUUUUGACAUGAUUUGAGCUUUGUGACAUGGUGUGUUGUGAUAAAAAGUCAUAUACAAAUUGUCUCACAACACUACACCACCAACACCAGCCCGAAGUGAUGAUGGGAGGCAGGGUGAAGCCAUGACCUCCCAUCCAAAUGUUGCAGAAAAAUGGAGAGUCGUGAGACCAGGCAAAAUUUUUCCAAUCUUCUAAUGUCCUUUUUUAGUGAGCCCAUGUGAACUAUAGCCUCAGUUUCUUCACAGCAGUGACUUCUACUUCCUCUUCAUGCCUGGAAGUUGAGGAUCACAGUUAUUUAAGCAAUAACCUGGCUGAUUGUGGCUCAAGAGUUGGCAGUGUUGUAUGUUGUAAUUGGAGGGUUGCUGGUUCAAGCCCCGGCUCCGACAGUCUCGGAGCACAAACUUGUGUUUUUAGACACUAAACAGACAAAAUGAGGAUCCGGUAAUAGAAACCAUAAUGUUUGAAACUUAUCCGAAACAUUUCCAUAUCUAAACUCUUCCUGGCCUAUUUACAAUUGAUCAUAAGAGCAGCUUCAGCUGUUCCACUGGGACAGUGUCUAACUGGCAUCUGUGAAGCCCCACACUUACUUCAGUCCUUACUCUGUACUUCUAAAUAUCAGCUUUAAACUGAAUUUAUCAUGUGAAUUGUUGCAUCAUUUAACCCCAUUACCUCACCUUCUUUUGAAUAUCAGAUUUACCCCUGAGUAAUUACAGCAUUUUAGUAAUAAAUAAAUAACAUUUGCCAGAUCUGUGUCAUGGGAGCAAACUGAGACAGCACAUACUGAAUUUAAGAACUUUAUUUUACAAAAGCAAAAUUGUAAGUCAUCAUUUUCCUUACUAAGUACUGGAGCUACAUCGUGACAUUAAGGGGACAUCAGGGAAACAUCAGACAUGAUGGGCUUGGAGUAUUGAGAGUAGGGAGACAAAGGAGUGAUGGCUCAAAAUGACAUCUCCUGGCAGUUCUAAGUGAUUAGCUCUAAUGUUUGUAAGAACUUUCAAUGAGUACGAUGUGAUCAAAAACAUCUGCAGGUACAUUCAGUGUUGAUAUUUGACACAUUUGAACCACAAGGUACAAAAUAAACUGAUUAAUAUAAACUGUGUGGACUCGCAAAUUUUGAAGCCAGCAUGAUAACCUUAUCUAAUGGAUGAUGUGGAGAUCCAGCUUAUUUAGAUCUGAUUAACAUCAGUUCACAAAAAAAAAAGAUCCCCUGAAAAGAUUAGAAUUGUUGAAAGUUAAAAAAAAAAGUUCAAACCUGCAUAGAAAAACAAAUCCAGUAUCAUAGAAUAAAACCAAAGAUCAAGCCCUGUUUUGAGGUCCAGAACAUUACAAUAGAGCAGCUGUGAGAGAAUUCAACAUUAAUGAAUCAAUAGUACGGAAGUAGAGGAAGCAAGAAGAACGAGUUGAGUAAAGUUUGAUUUUGAUGGUGCAAACGUUUCGUCGACAUUAUUGUGUUUGUUGGGGAGAAAACUCACAAACAUACAGUACAGCACUUCAGAGUCACACUGCUACAGAUCAAAGAUUUAUGUAAAUUUGAAAAGCUGAACGCGUUCUGUGCUGUACAGGAGACACGGCAUGAGAUUGAUUGGCAAUGCUCUACAGCCAAUCAGGACGCAGAACACAAUGCGCUGUAAAUCAAAACAACAUGCAAAAUUGCACUAGAAACAUCUGUGAAACAGUGAGGCCACAAAAGGUGAACUGCGUUAUAGCGAGGGACCACUGUAUAUAACAACAUUCCAGUGUAGUGUGUUUAUAGUGUAUGUGUGCAGAAUGGUGCACAUAUGUUUAAUGCUGGGUUGAGCUGUAAUAGUUAUCCUCAGUCAAAGAAGAGGCUGACAUCCAGGGAGUAGAUUGUAACAGGUGGAGUUUACUUGCACUCAGAUUGAUGGUACAGGGAGAUAUGGCACAGUGUAGGAGGAUGUGGAGGGGUGAUGUGGGCUGGUUCCUGUGAUCAAGAAGAGGAAAUAAUUAGAACAUGAAUACAGAUUAAAGGGUCAUAAAGCUGGCAACAAAUUCCUCCACAACAACUCUACUAAGGCAGUGCAUCAAUCUGAUACCACUUCUUAAGAGGGUUCACAUUUAUUAAAGCACUACUCAAAUUGGGCCACAAGAUGGAACUCCAACACAGGGGACGAAUAUUUAUAUCGAGGUAAGCAGUCAGCCCUCUAGUUAGCCACCAUGUAAUACAAUAAUAUUACAGCAUGCAAGUAACAGAGUAAAGCAUCUUAAACAUGGAAUAUUAACUCAAGUUUAUGUGAUGCACACCAUUCACAACAAACACAGGAUGGGCUAUUCACUUUCCUUCCCAGCUGCUCUCUCCUCUGUUAUAUUAGUGACCAGUUCAAUAGUUCAUGCAGCGCCCUCUGGUGGUUGUG
rnacentral:lncRNA from 1 species